ACUCACUUUCCUCCUCCUCUACUCUCCUCCCUUGUGCCCAUGUCGCCGCCUUGUUCUUGAUCUCAAAUCCAAAACCUUCUUUCCAAUCCACAUCGAUAGAACCAAAUCAUCUCACUCCCAAAUCACUUGCCAUCACAAGCUAUAAGCAUCGGUCUUUGAAGAUGUUAGUAGUGAUAGGACAACAACGGUGGAAAAGAUACACAACAGGAGUAGUGACCUCGAUCCACAACAUGUCAUCAAUUUGAAGAGAUAGUAGUUUCCUUCUGUGAGGUAUACUCAUCCCCUUUUUCAUUCAAGAAAAAAUUUGUUAAGUAUUGAAAAAUAUAUGUUUC
rnacentral:lncRNA from 7 species